GCUUUGCAUUCUGCCUUGCCCUAUGCUUUUCUUUUUCUUUCACAGGUGUCUUGCACAGACUCAAAGGAGCAAACUGCAUUCUGAAGAGCUGCGUGCCAUGGCUAGCAGUCCACAGAAGUGGCUGAUGAUUUGAGAUAAGACCGGAGAGCGGCAAGGAGCGGCACGUGCAGUUAUGCCUUCCAAGCACUGCGGUUGCUCUGUUCUGAUUAUCAGGUGAAGAGGUGCCUGAAGCCGUGUCUCGUGUGGGCUGAGGACGCCUCACUGAGGAUGAAGCCUGCUUUCCAGCAGGUCCCAAAGCUGUGUUGGGGCUGAAAUGCUGUGUCUGUAUUUGGGUUGGGGUUGUGCCUUGGUGAGUGUGGGGAUGGGUUUUAAGUCGGUGCAGCAGAUACGUAUAUAAAUGAAAUUCACAUAAGUGAUAUAUGAUGAAGUAUUGUGAAUCCUUGAACUUCUAGCCUACAUUAGCUAAUAUGUAUGGAGUUGCAUGAAACAUUGAGAAGCAGCUUCUAAUAAGCAGGUUUUUGUUGUCAUUAACUCAGCCCAUGCCUUUGCCAUACGUAAAGAUCAAGACAAACUACCUUUUUACACAGGAACUGCUGUGGGUGCACAGA